rnacentral:rRNA from 1 species
GAUGAACGCUGGCGGCGUGCUUAACACAUGCAAGUCGAACGGAAAGGCCCAAGCUUGCUUGGGUACUCGAGUGGCGAACGGGUGAGUAACACGUGGGUGAUCUGCCCUGCACUUCGGGAUAAGCCUGGGAAACUGGGUCUAAUACCGGAUAGGACCACAUUUUGGAUGGUGUGGUGGAAAGGUUUUCGGUGUGGGAUGAGCUCGCGGCCGAUCAGCUUGUUGGUGGGGUAAUGGCCUACCAAGGCGUCGACGGGUAGCCGGCCUGAGAGGGUGUACGGCCACAUUGGGACUGAGAUACGGCCCAGACUCCUACGGGAGGCAGCAGUGGGGAAUAUUGCACAAUGGGCGCAAGCCUGAUGCAGCGACGCCGCGUGGGGGAUGACGGCCUUCGGGUUGUAAACUCCUUUCGCUAGGGACGAAGCGUUUUUGUGACGGUACCUGGAGAAGAAGCACCGGCUAACUACGUG